rnacentral:rRNA from 1 species
AUAACGACUCUCGGCAACGGAUAUCUCGGCUCUCGCAUCGAUGAAGAACGUAGCGAAAUGCGAUACUUGGUGUGAAUUGCAGAAUCCCGUGAACCAUCGAGUCUUUGAACGCAAGUUGCGCCCGAAGCCAUCUGGUUGAAGGCAYGUCUGCCUGGGCGUCACGC